UCGGGAGACCUCUGUGUUCCACCCGGUUUUACCCAGCGGUCAGCCCGGCGUAUCUCUGACUCAGAAGCUCUGGUGUUGUGCACAGUUAACUCCGGUUGUAGCUAGGUUGCUACCUCCGUUAGCUUAGCUCCCACCUCCGCAUUAGCUUUGGGUUUGCCAGGGUUAGCUGCAGGUUAGCUUGUAGCUAGUUCGACCGGGUGUCGUCAGUUGAUCCCAGCCUUACAGCCCCACCCUCAGCUCUACCUCUCUUCCCUUUUGUGGAAUUGUCUGGGCUUGACAGAACCUGUGACACGGUCAAAAUGGCGGUGGUGGCCACCUCCCAUUUGGCCUCAAAAACGUGUUAUUGGAGCCUAUGGAAACCCAUUGUCCAAUAUUUAUAUGUCGAUGAUUUUAACCAAAAUAAAAUAAAAAAAAUACUGAGAAUUUUUUCCAAAACAGCUGGAAAACUACGAAUUAAGACCACUUCACAGUAUUACACAACAUUCAAAUCAAUACACCCAAUAAUAGGAACUAUACCUACAUAUGAAUGCUAUAAAUCAGGUGCAAUAAGAAUCUGAUUUUAUCCUGCCGAAAAAAAUUAAUUAUCCAUCAAAAUCCACAUUUAAACCUUCCAGACUCUCGUGAUGGAGUCCACAAAGUCAAAGAGUUUUCUUAAAGACCAGAUUCACCAUAACAAAGACAACAAGACUGCUUUUCAAGCUGUCAAGAUGUUUAUUUCUACCCACAGCAGCUUAAAAACCACCUGCACCUGCAUCCUUUCCCUUUCUGUGACGGAUGUGAUACGAUGGCUUGACGUGGAACGCAGGUGGCAAAGUGGGCUGGUGUAGUUUUUCGAGCGUGAAAUGUGCUUUCGACUCUUUUAAUUCAAGGCCACGUCACCACAGCUUUCGGUCAUUAGUCUGCAGAAGGUAAUAUUAAUACAUUUGUCUUGUAAAACUCUGCGACUACUAAAAGCGACGUUGUGGAUGAGGAAAAGAAUAUUCACUGAUGCAGAUUUCUUUAACGUCAGAAAAAUAUUUGUGUCUGGUAUAAAAAGUACAAACCGGUAGUUAAAACAUUUUAAGUAACCUAAAAUGCUUACAUUUCACCCAGUUCUAUAAUUAUUGUUCUACAAUGAAGUUGGUAAUCCUUCAUAAAUUAUACUUUUUUCCCCCUAAGUCUGGCCCCUACACCCAAAUGGAUCAUUUUUAAAGUCUAGAACGUUGACUAAUAGAGCUGCAUAUCCACAAGAGGGAGCUGUCAAUCAAAAUAAAACAUACUCCAGUUCCCAGCAUGCACUGCAGCAUGACGCAGAUGCCUCGGUCAGCUUAGUAUGCUAAGAUAGCUUGAAUGCUAACUAGGCCUGCAUUGUAUUAAUAUCAGUCUGUAAACUUUGAACUAGUUGUGGGAGUGCAGGGAGGGAAACAAACGGAUUUAUCUUUUGUGUAUUGGAGCAAAGUGAUUAACGUGCUACAUCGGACUGUUGUUUUAGCCUGGUAGCAUUGGCAGGGAUGGGUUACUGCAGGAAGUGCCGGAUCCCUGUUGGUUUUAAAUAUCUCUCUUCUUGAACACUGCAGAUUUGAUUAAAAUGAGCACCAGCGCUACAUGCAUGGUAUGAAGCGUGGCUUUCAGCGUCUUCCUGAAGGGGCUGGAGCUAUAGCCGUGCAAAUUUCAAAAUUUGUCCCAUCUCCUUUGUGACUUCCCGCUCUAGACCCCAGCUUUAAAAGAUUGUUGUUUUCUUUGGUUUUUCUCCUUCAGUGUAUGCGACUCAAAAGGGAUGUGAAGAAGAAAAAAAAAAACAUUGAUGGCAUAGUCAGCUGAAUCUGCAUGGAUCUAUGGAUCCAUUCAUUCUGACCACUUGCUUCCAACCUAAUCCUUUCAAUAAGACAAAAAUAACACCUGUGGAUUGGACAAUCAGACUCCCAUGACCCUCUUAGCAGUUCCUCUGUUCCAGUCCACAUGAAAGCUGCAAUCCUCCCCCUGAAUUUGUGGUAUUCUUCCAAAACAACAGUUCAAUCUGUUCUUGGGAGUCCCCUAAGAGGUUUAACAUGGUGGAGGAUGGAUUCUCAGUUACCAUCUCCGAGAUGAAUCAUUUUGGCCUACAUCUACCUGUAGUUACUCAUUUCUGAGCAGGUGUAAGGAAGCAGCAAGAUCUUGAAUCUUUUUGGAUAUCACUGUUUUAGUUAAUCAAAUCUGUGAUUUAUUCCUGACAUGUCUUAAAGCCAUACUGUGCAACAUUUUCAUAUUUUUAAAUCAUUUUCUUGAGCCAGUAUGUGCUUAAAUGACCCUUUACAAGGUUAAUGAAAUACUAUUCAGACCCCUACCGCCGUCUUCUGUGACCAGAAUACUGCAUUUGCUACUUCAGAGUGCCGGUCCAGUCUGUUGGAAUGGAGCCUACAUACCUGGCACUACAGUUUCCUGCAUGUUUUAGAUCAUGAACACAACUGAUUUGUUUGAUAUAGGGAUGAAUUGCUCCUGUAGACACUAAUGAAGGCUAAGGAGACAUAUCAGCUGUUAGAUUAAGAUGUUAAAAAGACAAAUGUGCAGCGAGGAGACAUGUUUCACUUUUAUAUCUACUAAACGGAAAGUAGGGGGUGCUAAAAGCAAGCAAAACUGCCAAGUGUGCCUUCAAAGUCAUGUCAAGAGAAAAUUAAUCCCUGCAGAGAUAAACAUCAUCAGUCACUGAAAUCCAGAACUUUGGUCUGUGGUUUGGUCACCCAACAUCCACCCUGACCUCCUCCCAGCAUCUGUUUCAGUCCUUAAAUGAUGCGUUUAAUCAAAAUAUGUGACCAAUGUUAGCAAACAUAGCUAAAUAAAGGGAUAAACAAUGUAAUUCCAGUCAAAUAAAGGGCUAUCAAACAUUUCCAACCAGUUAUUAUUAAAUUAAAACCUUAAUUCAGUGGCAGGUUCUUUGAUGCAGCAUCUUCAGUGUCUUAAACUGAUCACUCGUCUCCUUUGUUUGUCUUAAUGCCAUUUCAGUGAAGUGCAGAAUAAAACAAAAAUGAUUAAUUAAUUGACUGAUAGAUUAAAGGAAUCUUGUGGUGCAUUAGAAUAACAAAAGUGAUAAUUCUGAAUUGUAACAGGAUAAAAACAAAGUGAUAUGCUAUAAGGAGUGAGUAAAAAUACAAAAUAGUCUCAUUAUUCAUUAAUGACAACUGGGUAUAGUAGUCAUAGCCCAUAAUGCAACACCCAAACAGGAUGUCACUGGCAGGAAACACAAAACUGCAACCCUUAAUAGGAUUGUGUCUGUAUAGCAAUUUGUCAAGCCAAAACAUUCAGCAUUUAAGAGACAAAUAUAGCACGAUGAAAUAAGUAGGAGAGGGAGAAAUCACAAAAUAGUCAAUAGGAUUAACCCAAGCAUAAACUAAAUGCUCCUUGAUGUGUCACUGAUAAAAGGAUUUUUGAUUAUUCGUCACCAUGAAAUGCGUGGAAAGAUUGUCAUGCUGUCAUUGUAUUACUAUAUUUCCUUUAUCUGUACGUCAAUCUAGACACAUUAAAACCCUGCUCCUGUUUUCACCCCCUCCUCAUCUGGUGUCUCUUUUUAAUGGAUUUAACACACAUUCUGCAUUUAGAGUGUAUUAAAAAAACAGAUUACCUCAUCGCCUCAGGUCAGUGUUGUCUUAAUAAAUGGUGAGCCCACAAACUUGUGUCUUUGCCAAAAGAAACAUUGUCAUCUUCAAUUAAUCCAGCCGCUACCGGUACUUUUGGGUUUGACAGUUUGUGCACAUUAGUCACCGUGAAUCGUUUUCUUCAUAAACACCAAAAACC
ensembl:lncRNA